rnacentral:rRNA from 1 species
UGCCAGUAGUCAUAUGCUUGUCUCAAAGACUAAGCCAUGCAUGUCUAAGUAUAAAUGUUAUACAGUGAAACUGCGAAUGGCUCAUUAAAACAGUUAUAGUUUAUUUGAUAAUCGAAUUUACAUGGAUAACCGUGGUAAUUCUAGAGCUAAUACAUGCUGGUUAGCCUGACUUCGAGGAAGGGCUGUAUUUAUUAGAUAACAAACCAAUAUUCCCCGUGUCUAUUGUGAUGACUCAUAAUAACUGAUCGAAUCGCAUGGACUUUGUCCGCGAUACAUCAUUCAAGUUUCUGCCCCAUCAGCUUUCGAUGGUAGUGUAUUGGACUACCAUGGCUUUAGCGGGUAACGGAGGAUUAGGGUUCGAUUCCGGAGAGGGAGCCUGAGAAACGGCUACCACAUCUAAGGAAGGCAGCAGGCGCGUAAAUUACCCAAUCCUGACUCAGGGAGGUAGUGACAAGAAAUAACGGACCGAGGCAUCUGCUUCGGGAUUGCAAUGAGUAGAAUUUAAACCCCUUUACGAGGAUCAAUUGGAGGGCAAGUCUGGU